CUCAUCAGUUGAGCAAUCUUUCUCAGCUCUCAAGCACAUAAAAACUUAUUAAUGGAAUACAACCGGACAAACAUGGUUCUCUGCACUGGCUUCUAUUGCCAUAGAGAAGGAGCUGCUCAUUCAUCUUAAGCAGGACGCACAACUGCAUGAGGAGGUCAUUGAAUGUUUCGUCAGAAAGGAACGGAGGAUGGAUUUCAUUUACAAGUAAUGAGCUGCUUCGGCGCUCCAUUCCAUGGCAGUCUUACAGUUCUUCCAGGCCAAACUCCUCCAUUGUAUGGACGAAUCCAGCCGAGACCCUGUGGCUUUCAAAGAGCUGCACAGCACGACCGGCCUGGCCCUUCACGCCACCAAGAUGACAGCUCAGGCGAUCGGCAAAUCCAUGGUCAGCUGGAGCACCACUUAUGGCUAAACCUCAUGGAGAUCAAGGAUAAGGUCCCCUUCCUCAACUCCCCAGUUUCCCUUCCUCGACUCUCCAGUUGAGAGCUUCGCUGAACGCUUUACCGCUGCACAGAAGUCGUCCCAAGCAAUGCAACACUUCCUGCCAACGCGCUACAGCUUAACAGCUGCUUCUAAUCCCUUCUAAUUGGACCCUGCGCCCCAGGCUGAUCUGCAGGACAGGAAGAGGAGGGGAACAAGUCUCGCUGCAGCCAGACCACCCCCAAAAUGCUUCUGUUAUGCCUCCAAGCACCCCGUUCAUUUACGGGUGCCAAUGGCAGUGUGUUUGUGACCAAAAAUACUGUUGUGAACAUGGGGCCCGUUUUGAUCGCGUCCACACAACCAACCGCUGUUAUAGCGGGAAAAAUAAAAACACAAACAUUUUCAAAAAGAGAGCAAAUUUCCUCUUCCACUCACUGCAAGCGUCAGGUCCCCUCUAGGCGGCCCACCACUCGAACCAAUCCAGC
ensembl:lncRNA